ensembl:rRNA 5S_rRNA 5S ribosomal RNA
GUCUACAGCCAUACCACCCUGAACACACCCAGUCUCAUCUGAUCUCAGAGGCUAAGCAGCGUGGGGUCUGGUUAGUAACUUGGAUGGGAGGCUGGUUACUGUGAACC